rnacentral:rRNA from 1 species
AUGAAAUUAAAUCUUUAUGUACUGACUCCUAAGCGAAUUAUUUGGGAUUGUGAGGUGAAAGAAAUCAUUUUAUCCACUAAUAGUGGCCAAAUUGGCGUAUUACCAAACCACGCCCCCAUUAACACAGCAGUAGAUAUGGGUCCUUUGAGAAUACGCCUCCUCAACGACCAAUGGUUAACAGCGGUUCUGUGGAGCGGUUUUGCGAGAAUAGUUAAUAAUGAGAUCAUCAUUUUAGGAAAUGAUGCGGAACUGGGUAGUGAUAUUGAUCCGGAAGAAAUAUAA